rnacentral:rRNA from 1 species
GACGAACGCUGGCGGCGUGCUUAACACAUGCAAGUCGAGCGGUAAGGCCCUUUCGGGGGUACACGAGCGGCGAACGGGUGAGAACACGUGGGUGACCUGCCCUCAGCUCUGGGAUAAGCCUGGGAAACUGGGUCUAAUACCGGAUAUGACUCCAUGACGCAUGUUGUGGGGUGGAAAGCCUUGUGCGGCUGAGGAUGGGCCCGCGGCCUAUCAGCUUGUUGGUGGGGGAUGGCCUACCAAGGCGACGACGGGUAGCCGGCCUGAGAGGGCGACCGGCCACACUGGGACUGAGACACGGCCCAGACUCCUACGGGAGGCAGCAGUGGGGAAUCUUGCGCAAUGGGCGAAAGCCUGACGCAGCGACGCCGCGUGAGGGAUGACGGCCUGGUGUAACUCUUC